rnacentral:rRNA from 1 species
UACGGAGGGUGCGAGCGUUGUUCGGAAUCACUGGGCGUAGAGGGCGUGUAGGCGGUUCGCUAAGUCUGAUGUGAAAGCCCGGGGCUCACCCCCGGAAGUGCAUUGGAAACUGGCGGACUCGAGUCCCGGAGAGGAGGGUGGAAUUCCUGGUGUAGCGGUGAAAUGCGUAGAUAUCAGGAGGAACACCGGUGGCGAAGGCGGCCCUCUGGACGGUGACUGACGCUAAGACGCGAAAGCGUGGGGAGCAAACAGG